GAUGAACGCUGGCGGCGUGCAUAACACAUUCAAGUCGAACGAAGCGUAUCCGACACUGCGGGUUGUAAGAGAAAUAUUUCCGGAUAAGGAGACAAUAAAUGAAAAACCACGAAGUGUUUUACAUAUAUUCGUCAUCUAUUAUCUGUCAUCUAUUAUCUCAAAUACAACACGGAGUGUUGGGUAUGACUUAGUGGCGGACGGGUGAGUAACGCGUGAGCAACCUGCCUUAUUGAGGGGGAUAACGUUUGGAAACGAACGCUAAUACCGCAUAAAGUGACCGAAUGGCAUCGUUUGGUUACCAAAGGAGUAAUCCGCAAUAAGAUGGGCUCGCGUCUGAUUAGGUAGUUGGUGAGGUAGAGGCUCACCAAGCCGACGAUCAGUAGCCGGACUGAGAGGUUGAACGGCCACAUUGGAACUGAGAAACGGUCCAGACUCCUACGGGAGGCAGCAGUGGGGAAUAUUGGGCAAUGGGCGAAAGCCUGACCCAGCGACGCCGCGUGAAGGAAGAAGGUCUUCGGAUUGUAAACUUAUGUCAGCAGGGAAGAAGCAAGUGACGGUACCUGCAGAGGAAGCCACGGCUAACUACGUGCCAGCAGCCGCGGUAAUACGUAGGUGGCGAGCGUUGUCCGGAAUUACUGGGUGUAAAGGGUGUGUAGGCGGGAAUGAGGGUCAGAUGUGAAAGCUGCGGGCUUAACCCGGAGAUUGCAUUUGAAACCGCAUUUCUUGAGUGUUGGAGAGGUAAGCGGAAUUCCCAGUGUAGCGGUAAAAUGCAUAGAUAUUGGGAGGAACACCAGUGGCGAAGGCGGCUUACUGGACAACAACUGACGCUGAGACACGAAAGCGUGG
rnacentral:rRNA from 1 species